GGAAUAUUGCACAAUGGGCGAAAGCCUGAUGCAGCGACGCCGCGUGAGGGAUGACGGCCUUCGGGUUGUAAACCUCUUUCAGUAGGGAAGAAGCGAAAGUGACGGUACCUGCAGAAGAAGCGCCGGCUAACUACGUGCCAGCAGCCGCGGUAAUACGUAGGGCGCAAGCGUUAUCCGGAAUUAUUGGGCGUAAAGAGCUCGUAGGCGGUUUGUCGCGUCUGCCGUGAAAGUCCGAGGCUCAACUUCGGAUCUGCGGUGGGUACGGGCAGACUAGAGUGAUGUAGGGGAGACUGGAAUUCCUGGUGUAGCGGUGAAAUGCGCAGAUAUCAGGAGGAACACCGAUGGCGAAGGCAGGUCUCUGGGCAUCUACUGACGCUGAGGAGCGAAAGCAUGGGGAGCGAACAGGAUUAGAUACCCCGG
rnacentral:rRNA from 1 species